rnacentral:rRNA from 1 species
GACGAACCGUGCAACGUUGUUCGGAAUCACUGGGCUUAAAGGGCGCGUAGGCGGGCCAGCCAGUCUGUGGUGAAAGCCUCCAGCUUAACUGGAGAAGUGCCGUGGAUACUGCUGGCCUCGAGGAGGAUAGGGGCAUCUGGAAGCGGUCGGUGGAGCGGUGAAAUGCGUUGAUAUCGACCGGAACUCCGGUGGCGAAGGCGAGGUGCUGGGUCCUUUCUGACGCUGAUGGCGCGAAAAGCCAGGGGAGCAAACGGGAUUAGAUGACCCCGUA